rnacentral:rRNA from 1 species
GACGAACGCUGGCGGCGUGCUUAACACAUGCAAGUCGAACGGAAAGGCCCUGCUUUUGUGGGGUGCUCGAGUGGCGAACGGGUGAGUAAUACGUGAGUAACCUGCCCUUGACUUUGGGAUAACUUCAGGAAACUGGGGCUAAUACCGGAUAGGAGCUCCUGCUGCAUGGUGGGGGUUGGAAAGUUUCGGCGGUUGGGGAUGGACUCGCGGCUUAUCAGCUUGUUGGUGGGGUAGUGGCUUACCAAGGCUUUGACGGGUAGCCGGCCUGAGAGGGUGACCGGCCACAUUGGGACUGAGAUACGGCCCAGACUCCUACGGGAGGCAGCAGUGGGGGAUAUUGCACAAUGGGCGGAAGCCUGAUGCAGCAACGCCGCGUGCGGGAUGACGGCCUUCGGGUUGUAAACCGCUUUCGCCUGUGACGAAGCGUGAGUGACGGUAAUGGGUAAAGAAGCACCGGCUAACUACGUG